rnacentral:sRNA from 1 species
UGCAUCUGAAGCCUGACGAGGAUGAGAACCUCCGGGGGCAAGAGGUUCGACUCGAGCGCAGCGAGAGAACGUUGCGUCAGCAACGGCCCGCAGGGCGAGCCACGCAGUGGCGAGUCAUCCUCUAUCACCCACCA